rnacentral:rRNA from 1 species
GACGAACGCUGGCGGCGUGCCUAAUACAUGCAAGUCGAGCGAACAUAUUAUGGUGUUUGCCCUCGGAAGAUUUAGCGGCGCGGGGGAGUGACACGUGUAUAGCACAUGUAUCAUAGUCUGGGAACAUCAUUGGAAAGGAUAGAUUAUAGCGGAAAACAUUAAUUCGCGUGUUUGAAUAGUUAAAGAGUUUGUUGUGGUAACAUAUAGAUGUGGCUGCGCGGCAUUAGCUAGUUGGUGAGGUAACGGCUUACCAAGGCAACGAUGCGUAGCCGACCUGAGAGGGUGAUCGGCCACACUGGAACUGAGACACGGUCCAGACUCCUACGGGAGGCAGCAGUAGGGAAUCUUCCGCAAUGGGCGAAAGCCUGACGGAGCAACGCCGCGUGAGUGAUGAAGGUCUUCGGAUCGUAAAACUCUGUUAUUAGGGAAGAACAAAUGUGUAAGUACUUAUGAACGUCUUGACGGUACCUAAUCAGAAAGCCACGGCUAACUACGUG